rnacentral:rRNA from 1 species
AUUGAACGCUGGCGGCAGGCCUAACACAUGCAAGUCGAACGAGUGGCGGACGGGUGAGUAAUGUCUGGGAAACUGCCUGAUGGAGGGGGAUAACUACUGGAAACGGUAGCUAAUACCGCAUACCAUCAGAUGUGCCCAGAUGGGAUUAGCUAGUUGGUGGGGUAACGGCUCACCAAGGCGACGAUCCCUAGCGGGUCUGAGAGGAUGACCAGCAACACGGGAACUGAGCAACGUUCCAUAUUCCUACGGGAGGAAGCAGUGGGGAAUAUUGCACAAUGGGCGCAAGCCUGAUGCAGCAAUGCCGCGUGUAUGAAGAAGGCCUUCGGGCUGUAAAGUACUUUCAGCGGGGAGGCGUUACCCGCAGAAGAAGCACCGGCUAACUCCGUGCCAGCAGCCGCGGUAAUAC